CUGUGUCUGCAGGUUGAGGAUUCUUCCCACGCUAUUACCAGCAUUUGUUAACCUUUUUGAAACCUGUCUUUUCUUUCCUAGGUCACUAUUGCCCCAGGAAUACACAGUUUGCCACACAGUAUCCUUGUCCCCCUGGAACCUAUAGUGAAGUUUUAAAUACUUGGGAUGCUUCGAAGUGCCAGCUGUGUCCUCCUGGAAGGGUCUGUUCCAAGCCGGGUUUAGCAAGACCAGAUGGACUGUGCAUGCCUGGAUGGUUUUGUCCACCUGGAUCCACAUCAAGCAAACCAGUGUUUCCUGGAAAUUACACUGGUACGAAGGGAAACAAUAAAGAUAAAGUGUGAUGGUGAUUAUUAUGGAGGAGGUGGUUAUUACAGAGUCGUCACCCAAAGGGACUUGGCCAGGUUCAGGGUGGCGGACUUUCCCUUUUUACUUUCCUUAAUUCAGUGCUCUGGGUCUGUCCUUCCUGAACUCUUUAGGUAAGAUAGAGUGCUUGCAAUUUUUAUGUUUCAGCUCAGUCUGCAUCUUUUCCAUUAGCAGGCACGACAGCUUCAGCUUCUGGGUCUGUUGGGUUGUGCCAAGCAGGAACCUUUUGUCCUGCUGGUUCAUUUCUUCCUCUGCCCUGCACUCCAGGUUUGUACUGUGCAACUGCAGAGCUCGCAGCUCCGUCAGGUCCUUGUGAGGCUGGCUUCUACUGCACGGGGGGCUCCGCGCUCCCAAACCCCAUGGAUGGAGCAGUGGGGAACAUUUGUCCUCGAGGCCACUUUUGUCCUGCCGGGAGUUCUUCUCCAUCUCCGUGUCCCCCAGGCUCCUUUUUGGCUCAUCGUGGUGGCCAGUCAGCACAGGACUGCCAGGCCUGCAUCCCAGGGUGGUUCUGUUCUCAGCGAGGUCAGAGCUCCCCGGAGGGCUUGUGUAAAGAAGGAUGGUUUUGCCCAGAGGGCUCUGCAUCAGGCCAGCAUUCAGGUUCUGUGCCCCAGAAGACCACCCAGGUGAUCUCCAAGAGAACUUCUCACAAGGUGUGGUCAAACCAAUAGAAUGUCCAGCAGGAUAUUACUGCCCAUCGGGAACAAGAGCUGCCAAUCAGUACCCGUGCCCAGAGGGCACCUACAGUAACCAAACUGGAGUGGGAAAUCCCAGGGAAUGCAAGCCUUGUCCUGGAGGCACAUUUUGUGCCAGUGCAGGACUCUCGUCCCCAAGCGGUCCUUGUUUGCCUGGGUAUUACUGCACUUCGAAGGCCCGUGUACCCAAUCCUGUCAAUGAUGAGACGGGCAGCCUUUGCCCAGCAGGCUGUUACUGCCCACCUGGCAGCAGCAAACCAGAGCUGUGUCCCACUGGCACGUUCUUACCUCAGUCUGGGAUGGUUUACCGUAACGCCUGUCUGCCCUGCCCUGGGGGGAAGUUCUGCCAAGGAGAAGGCCUGGCCAGGGUUUCUGGUGCGUAA
rnacentral:lncRNA from 1 species